NNCCCUUUCAAAAGGGAUGAAGAGGAAGGUUAUCAUGGCUUAGGGCCGGAGCACCCACGGUAGUCACCAAGUGUGGAGUCCAGGGGACAGUUUGUCCUGAAGGGUGAGGAAGAGCUGGGAUGGAAUGGAGGGGCAGUGAAGGCAUGUUGGAAGCAGGAUUGGGGGGGGGGGGGCAGCCAGUGGGCCAGAAGGGUCACCAGCGGUGACUGAGGGGAUGCCUAAACGAAGUCUCUGGCCUUGAACCUGGGACGUGCUUGGGCCUCCAUCACCUGCAUGGAGAGAAGAAACACAGUUAAGAGUGGGGAGUAGUGGAGCCACAAGCAGAACUGAGGUUUGGGGUCUGGGAGCCAAGAUCCCAAGGCACGUGGGCAAACUUGCAUGGUUGGCCCCACGUGCCGGCCCUUUCCUUGGCUGGAGUGCUGAAUGGGUAGGUGGUCACUUCAUCCUGUCCCUGGUAGGCGUGCACAACAAAUGUUAUGCCUAGAAGUUGUUUGGUUACGUUCAGCCAAAAAUCAAACUAAGCUCGAAUCGUUAUUUAGGAAUUUGGGGACAAGUUAAAUCUUUCGGACUACUACCAAACCCUGUUUUGAUAUUUAUGCUGUACCUUUAGGAAUAGAUCAUGGGAAAAGAGACAUAGCACUGCUAACCUCACUUUGGUUUUUUUCUCUCCUGCCCUGCCCUUACUCCCCUGCUCAGAGGAGGUUCAAGGAGACUGGAGAAUGAAACAGCAGGUGCAUUCUGGGAUGCUUUUAUCCUAAUAAAACUCCUCCAAAGACUUUGCUGUUUUCCCUCUGCUCAAUAGCCAGGAUCUGGUUUCAGACCUGCCACCCCAUUCUCUCAGCAACACCUCCCUGCUUGGUGCUUGUCCCCAGCUGACCUGCAUCCAUUUCUAUCAUGUUUUAGGUAAGUACUAUUUAAAAUGUUACGCCAUACAAAGAGUAGCAAAGGCAUUUCUGUUGCUGCUUUUCUUUCUGAUAGAGGUAUGAGGGAGGAAAUGGGUCUCAUAUUUAUUAAGAUUUGUUUAUAAAGAGCUCUUGAGAACAUUUCAAGGUUACCAAAUGCUCUCUCAGAAUGCCUUUACUCAAGAAUAAAUGUAAGGAGCUAGAGGAAAAAAUGACUGCAUAUGAUGUUCCAUUACCAGAAUCUCAGAGUUGACAUGGUUUUUGGCCAUAAUACUAAGAGUCACCAUUUAUUGAAUAUCCGUUGGUGUCACAAGCUAUGCAGAGAUCUCCACAAGUGUUAUCCCACUUAAUCUUCCAAACAUUCUAUGAAGCCAAGUCAGAAGGAAAGCUGCCCAGGCCACUACUCCACAAAAAGGGACAAAAAUCUUGGAAAAUGAAACAUAGAAAAUUAUAUUUAUCAGUCCUUUGAGGGAGAGUGUUGUUUGGGUUAAAAGAACCCUGAUGAGCUACUUGACAUGGCAAUGAGAGCCCAAGAAGUCAAAUGUGCAUUCUAAGGAGCAUAGGUCUAAUGAACUGCAAGGCAUCUGUUUUGCUCUAUGGAAACCCUGUCUUUCCUCAAAAUAGACGUUGAAGAAUUAUUUAAAAAAUAUUCUUUCAAAGGAGUACCAGCAAUCAUUGGCUUACCCAGAGCCCUCUUAUGUUCCCAUUUAGCUGUGGUCGUAGGUACCAGUAACUCCAAUGUACUCACCAGGACAAGGACACUGAGCCUCAGGAAAGAUUGAUAACUUGCUCUUGAGAGCCCAGCUACUGGCCUCUCAGGACUGGGGGUUCCUGAACCAGACCCAGGUCUGAUUCCAAAGCCCUUGCACUUCAGAGAUGGAGUCACUGGUUUGGUCAAAAGAAUCAAGAGUAGAAGGCAAGUAAAAAAUGACUGCCCAGGUGAUAAGAGUAAAAUAGUUAUAUUUUUUUUUAUAUAAAGAAAUAAGGAAACUUGUGAGAAACAAGGAUAGGAGAGACCCUUGAAAUAUCUGGAAUAAGUUCACUGUUCUACAACCUACUCUUAGAGUCUACAAGGGAUUUGAGUCAAGAACUACGGAGGUAAAGAAGAUGUUGUAACAUGAUUAUGCUAUUAUGAAGAGGAAGAAAGUAGGGAUUUUCUUUGGUUUUGAUGCAAAAGGCAAAGAACCAGAGAAUAUUUAUUCUUUUUCUUUCUUUAAAAGAAUGUAAAUCAAGCCAGACUAAAAAGACCACAUAUGGUAUGAUUCCAUUUAGAUAAAAUGUGCAGAAAAGGCAAGUCUAUAGAAACAGAAAGUAGAUUAGGGAUUGCCUAGGUCUGGAGAGUGGGAAUGGGGAGUGACUGCAAAUGGGCCCAAGAAAUCUUGGAGUGUUGGAAAUGUGCUAAAAUUUGCUUGUUGUGAUGAAUGCACAACUCUGUAAAUUUAACAAUAUCAUUGGUGUAUUUAAAAUGAGCGAAUUUUGGGGCACCUGGGUGGCUCAGUCGAUUAAGCGUCCGACUUCACCUCAGGUCAUGAUCUCACAGUCUAUGAGUUUGAGCCCCGGGUCGGGCUCUUUGCUGACAGCUCGGAGCCUGGAGCCUGCUUCAGAUCCUGUGUCUCCUUCUCUCUCUGUGCCUUCCCCACUUGUGCUCUGUCUCUCUCUAUCAAAAAUAAAUGAAUGUAAAAAAAAAACUUUUUUAAUGAGAGAAUUUUAUGGUAUGCAAAUUAUAUCUCAAAUAAAACUGGAAAAGCAAAUAAUAAUAAUAAUAAAAUAAUAAACCCAUCUGGUAGGAGAAAUAAAAAAGAACAUGUAUUGAUCUUUUGGAGGAAAAUAAAGUACAGGAGAAAAAGUAAAAGCUACCCAUAAUUCCACCACCUAGAGAUAAUAACUUAUCUCUAAUACUUUAGUGCAUUUUAUUCUUAAUUUCCCAUUUGAAAAAGAUAUAAUCAUAUAUACACCCAUAAAAACAUGCAUAUAACUAGCUACUUACAUUCAAUUACGUGUACAGUUGACCCUUGAAUCGCUUCAGGAUUAGGGGCGCUGAUAUACACACCACACACACCUUCAGCCUCCCACCACUGCCUCCCCACCAUCCCCACCUCCAUGCAGUCAAAUCUGCAUAUAAUUUUGACUCCCCCCAAAACUUUACUACUAAUAAUCUACUGUUGACCGGAAGCCUUAUCAACAUCAGUCCCCUAAUUCUCAUUAUGUAUAUGUAUUGUGCACUAUAUUCUUAGAAUAAAGUAAGCUUCAGGAAAUAAAAUAUUACUGAGAAGAUCAUAAGGAAGAGAAAGUAUAUUUACUGUACUGGUCAUAUUGAUCAAAAUAAAUCCACAUGUAAGUGGACCCCCUGCAGUUCAAACCCAAGGUAUGCAAGGGUCAACUGCAUAUGUCUAUAGAUACAUGCAUUCAUACAAACUUGAAAGCAUUAGUAUUUUAUGUAACUUUUUCUAUUUGGAAUGGAAAAGUGCUUUACAUGUUUAAAAUAAUCUUCAUUAAAAUAAUAGCUACAAAAUAUUCUAAUGUAUAGAUAUAAUUUACCUAAAGUAUCUUCCUUUGAGGCCUGUUUUUUCAUUGGCAAAAAAUAUUUGUUUAAUCUCCUUCCUAUAGGUUAGUGAAUUCUUUCUCUAUGAGAGAGCUGAGAUCUUCAUUGAAGAUCUCCAAUGAGAUAAGGAUAGGUUACAAGACCCAAGUUCGUUAAUGCCAGUGACUACUAAUUGUAGAACUUUGAAUGAGUUACUUAAUGUCCAAGUUCCAUUUUGUUCAUCUGAGCAGAAGUUCAGGGUUAGGAAUUUGAGAAACGGUUGAGAUUAAGUUGCAGUUCCAUCCUCUAUCUACAGUUUGACCUUAAGUGAAUUACUUAGCCUAAGACCUUGUUUCAUCAUCAGUAAAGUGGAGACAUUAAUGGAAUUAUACAUGAAUAUGAUGGUUAUAGGAAAUUUAGCAUAAGUUCCAGGUACAUAAUGCAUCCUCAAUAACUGUUAGCCAUUGUUGUUGUUGUUGUUGUUGUUGUUAUUGUUGUAUUAUAUAAUAUUAUCUAUAUUAUAUUACAGUUAUUACUUUCUGUAUAAUGCAGAUAAAUAGCAUCUGCUAUUAUCUGAAAUGCCCUCUGCAUUUCAUGGGAACCUGGUGACAAUCAAUUGAGAUCUGUUAUACUAAAGGGCCUUGGCAUCUGUUAAUUAUGCAUUUUGGCUGUGUGAGAUAUAAAGGAUGCAUCUGCCUCCAUGAGAAACACUAAAGUUUCCUGAAGACUAUUUUAGACUUAGUCUCACAAUCUUUUCUCCAUUCACUCUAUGCUUACCUGGCUCUGUCAUUCUUCAUAUUAUAAUAUAGAGAUCAAUAGCACAGUGACAGAAGCACAAUAAGGCCUCACAUUUUCCCAGUCCUGGGAAUUCUGUUAUAGAUUAGACAUUCAUUAGACAUCCCCAUAUUUGUGUAUAGGGAGAAUUUGAUUCACCCUGUUUUAGCUACCUCACUGGAAGGUGGGUUAUAAAAAUAUAUCCAUCACUCUUGCUGGUGAUACAACCAAUUUAUUGAAGAAGCAGGACUUCUGGGUGAAAUUAUGAAAGCAACUUUAUUCAUUAUAAGAAAAAGUUUUUGUAACCAUAUGUGGUAAUAGAUGUUAACUAGACUUAUUGUGGUGAUCAUUUCACUUAUUAUGGUGAUCAUAAUAUCUAAUUAUUAUGUUGUACAUUUGAAACUAAUAUAUGUCAAAUGUACUUCAACUUUAAAAAAAUAAAUAAAAGCAAUUUUAGUGUUUUUUCUCUCUGCUUUAGACUUGUUCAGUAGGGUAAUUCUACUCUGCCACUGGAUAUAUAGCUUUUCUGGUCCCUUUUUUUUUUUUUUUAAGUUUAUUUUGAGAGAGAGAUGUGUGCACAUGCAAGUGAGAGCGCACAAGUCGGGGAGGUAGAAAGGGGCAGAGAAAGGAGGACAGAGAGAAUCCCAGGCAGGCUCCGCACUGUCAGCACAGAGCCCAACACGGGCUCGAACCCGUGAACCAUGAGAUCAUGACCUGAGCCAAAACCAAGAGUCUGAUGCUUAACUGACUGAGCCACCCAGGUGCCCCUAUGGAGUCCCUAUUAAAAUUUUUAGGAAUUAGUAGUCCUUGGAAUACAUUUUGGGAAACUUUGCUUAGCUGACUGAGCCACUCAGGCCCUUUUUGGUCACUUAUAGAUGAUAGAAAGUACUACAGUUUUUCUGUUAAAGUGUCCAAACCAAUAUAUUACUAAAUACUUCUAUCUUUAUUCAUGGAGAAUUUUCUCUUCCUCCCCCAUUUAGAGCUGGCACAGGCUGGUUCCAGUCUUUAGGAAAGAAGAUAUGGUCAGCUUCUUUUUUCCUUGCUCUUUCUGCCUGUACUUAAUGCCUGCUAGUUUUUACCCUUCUAGAAUCAAAGAAUUAGGGAAGGGAGGAGAGAAAAGGAGAGGAGGAAAGGAAAGUUCUCCCUUGGCUGGGACAGUUGGCAUCACAUUUUCCAGGCCUGACAAAGGUAUCAGGUCAGCUCUUUCUCUCGUGGGUAUUUCACAUAUUCUUGGUCAGCCUCCCUGCUGGGCCUUCAGUGUAGGCAAGUGCCACUGUUUUGGCUACCUGCUCCCCCUUCGGGCCUGGCUUCCCUGCGGUCCCCUCCAAACUGCCUCCUUCUGUACCAUCCGAAUUUACCCUCCACCCAUACCCAGCUGUCUUCUUUUUUUUUUUUUUUUUUUCAACGUUUAUUUAUUUUUGGGACAGAGAGAGACAGAGCAUGAACGGGGGAGGGGCAGAGAGAGAGGGAGACACAGAAUCGGAAACAGGCUCCAGGCUCCGAGCCAUCAGCCCAGAGCCUGACGCGGGGCUCGAACUCACGGACCGCGAGAUCGUGACCUGGCUGAAGUCGGACGCUUAACUGACUGCGCCACCCAGGCGCCCCUGCCAGCUGUCUUCUUGAGCAGGACUUAUAGGGACUGCGGGAUUGUUCUCUCCUAUGUGUCUCACAUCUGGUCCAUAGAAAUAUUUGUGCCUAUUCCCCCCACCCCCCGAUAAACUCUGAAAGCACAGACUAGUCCUAACAACAGCACUUACCCCCGUUGCCAAGAAAUUCACAAAUCCUCUCCCCUGGUCUGUAGAUUCCAAGGUUGGAGUCAGACAUGAAUUCCCCUUGCUCUUGACUUAGGGAACUGUUCUCUGAAUGGCCCAGUGGAGCCUUCCCUACCCCCCACCCUUGGUGGUAGGAAUCAUAGCACAGCUCUCACCAAGAAAAUACUCCUUAGGAAAUCCUCCUUGAGUUUCCACUUCCUGGACACUGUUAUUUCCUCCUGCGAUGAGAAGUUUUAGACUCAUGGAGCUGAUCUUUGUCUUCUUUGGUAUUUUGAUUGAAGGCCUGCAUCUUGGCACCUCACUUUGGGAUUUCAUAUCUAUCCUAGUUUGGUGCCUCAGGUGAAACUUGAAUUUAGCAUCUGUGAUAGGUUAGUGAAAACGGAAUCAAGCCAACUUCCUUUUCCAUACCUUCAACAUUAAUGCCUACUCAACUAAGACAAUUGCCUUUCCCAGGCAAGGCUAUUCACCUGGGAGUUGUAAGGACUACCACAGGAAUACCACACUCAUUAGGAGAGUGUAGCUCACGUGGUCUCAUAAGCUUUCUAAAGAAGAAAUGCAUAAUUAAAACUGUCUGAUCAGGAGAGGCCCAAUUUGUGGUUUAUAAUAAACAAGUGUCAUGGUCUUGAUUUAAAACUUGGAAGAUUUGUCAAUUUGGGGGAGUAUAUUUGGAUUAAAAUCUUAAAACAAUAGGCAGGGAUAGGAAAGUGGCUAACAAUUUGGUGAUGAUAAUAUAAAAAUUUUAUCAAUAAGGCAAAGUCACAAUGACCCAUUUUUAGAACCUCAUAUUAGGCUUCUUUGUGAGUUUUAAAAGUAGAAUUGUUUGGUUUUGGUAUAUGUAUCAUUAUCGCAUGUAAGAGCCAAUUAGAGAGGAAUUAGCUAUGCAGUUUGAAUUGCACUUUAGAUAUAUCCAAUUUGGGGGCAGUGGAAUUAAAGUAAACAUUGAAAUAUUAUGAAAAACAAGGAAAAAUAGUCUUGGGAUUAUCUAGUGACUGCCUUCCAAUUUCCAGAUUCAUGAUGAACUAAUGUAAAAUUUUAAGUUGUCAGUUUUUAUAGUCCCUAAAAAGAGGCUAUGUGUGGUAAUAGUCUUCUGCAGAAAGGUAAAUUGUAUAGUCAGGAGACAUAGUUAAAAUGAACCUUCUCAAAAAAAAUAUUACUCAGAGAUAAAAUGUAUGACUUAGUUACGGAAGCAAGUCCUAAAAGAGAAGAAAAGUCUUUUGCUCCAGAAGUAAAAUUGUAUUAUAGAGAAAGAUACUGACCUCUAUAAAGAAAACUGGUAGUUAUUUGCAUUAGUUCAUAUAUGAACCCCCUGCCUAAGGGGAAUUGGUUAUGAAAGAGUUUGAAUGCUCCACCUGGCCAUGUUUUCAGAAGGGACAGUUCCUCUGUAAUCAAGAACUGUGAAAAUCACUGAUAGGCAAAUCACUCUGGUCUAAAUAAGGAGCAGGUUCAACACCCCACUGAUGGCGUUUUGGGGUGAUGGUGGGGGUUUCAGGGUUGACAGCCAAGAAAGAAUUCUUGAAGACAUCUUUGGUGCAAAAAGGUGAUUUUAUUAAAGCAUGGGGCCAGGACUCAUGGGAAGAAAGAGCUGCAUUGGGGUUGUGACAGGUAACUGAUUAUAUACCUUCAGGUUGGGAGGGGGUUAGGGAUAGAGUAAGUCUCUAAGGCACUUUGGAAACAAGGUUUCCAGGACCUUGAGUGGCUAGCUGCUGUUAGGAAAAUGCCAUUUAUUACCAUUUAGUAAAACCUCAGUCAUGAGACCCUUCAGAUGCACAUCAGGGAGCCAUAAGCUUGGAGUAUGAUUGCCAGCAUAUAUCUUGGGGGAGUUGAGAUAAAGGAAGUUUCUAAAGGAAUUUUUAUAUGUUAAAGUCAACUUACAGGAUCCUGGGGUGAGAGUGGGGGUCCAGGAUAAUGUUAAGCCAAGAGUCCCUUUUGCCCCUAGUAAAGUGUCACCAUCGAGGCAACUGCACUCCUGGAGGGAGGUCUCUCUGCCUGUUUCAAGGACUCGUCAAUGGGCUGUUGGCAAUAAGGGAAUUUAAUUUUUCACUUGCCUUAGUUUCCCAUGCCACCAUGGCAAGCACUUAAACCCCUUUCCAUCUUGAUGAGGGUGAUAUUAGGGCUCCUGGAAACAGAGUCGAUAGGUUUCCAGAGAUCAGGCUAUGGAUAAGAUUGCCUUUUUCUUGCAGUUUACUAAGUUAUCCAUAAACUUAUGGAUAGGAGACUCCUGUCCUGCAUGACUGUGAUCUCUGUCAGCCAACCGUUUGCUUUCUUUCCUUUCCCUUGUUCUUGGGCAUCCAGGAGUGUCUGAGGAAUAUCACACAUAUCCCACCUGGGGCAGCGGGGGUGCGUGCUGUUAGCCUGUACUUUGCCGUCAGCUUGCCCCAUGCUCCCUCAUCACCACCAGAGCCAAAACCUUCCUUACCUAAACAAAUGUCCCUCUGUGUGUGGAAGUGUACUAUCUGCUACUUGUUCAGGUUGAGUUGGUUAGAGAGGCAGUAAUGAACUUGGUUAAAUAGUUUGGGGUGAGGAAAAUGUCACCAUGUCACAGCAUUAAUCUUAGGCCAAUUUUCUAGUGGAGUAUAUCUAUUUUGCUGAAAUAACAAGCUACUGUUGCUUUUUGAUAUUAUGCAAGAGGAGCAUAGUAUAUUAUUCAAGUCAGAAAAUCUCUGUCUUUGUUAUUAUACACAUUUUUCACACUAAUAGGGAAAAUUAUCAUGAAAACAAUUUCAAGUGAAUUACAGCCACCCAACAUUUGUUACAAUCUCCUUUUCAUCUGUAAUCCAAUGUGGGCUCCAACAUAUUUCAAAAAUAGAUUGCUUUAUAUAGUGGAUUCCGUAGAGAAAAUAAGCACAGAAAGGAGUUUAUGACUAAAAAUCAUAUUGAUUAUAUUAAACCCAAAACAUGCAGAACCUGAAGGAAGUAAACAGAGAAUUGUCAUUUAAAGUGAGACAUAAAAUUUUGACUGGACAAUGAAGUAAUGAGUUGAGCUCUUUUGCUUAGGUGUCCCAAUUUUCACAUAAAAAAAUAUGGUAGUGCUGUGCUACUAAAGAAGAUACAUUUACUGGCAUUUCUGGAUUAGAAGUACUAGUUUAGUUUCAGAGGCAGAAAAUAACUCAGGAGGCUUAGAAGAAGUCAAGAGGCAAAGACAGGAUUCUUUACCUGCUAUGACUCUGCAGGGCAAGGGGGACCACACACUUUCAGCUCUCCAAGUUCACAACAGGGAGAUCCCAAUUCUGUCAGUUCUUUCCUCUUCCUGAUGGCCCUGAGGCUUUGCAGCUGUGAUUCUGGCAGCUCCUCACCAACUCUGGGAGCCGCACAGUUUAAACCCUGGAAAUGGAGCCUUCCCCUCAGGUGAAGCUAGGCCCUGACCUGUUUGUGAUAGGUGUGUCUGUGUCUAAGAUAACCCCACUGCCACCCACUCAGUUACCUCCCAACAGGAGGUUCGUUUCUUUACACCAUUAAUUCAUCUAGUCAUUCAAGUCAGUAAAUAUUUACUGAGCUCCUACAAAUGUGCCAGGCACUAUGCUAGGCACUUAGAGAAGAGAACAGACAAAUGUCCUACUUGCAUGGAAUAUUGUAGUGGGUAAAAUAAAUAUAAGCAAAUUAACACAUAAAUAUAUGUCUAGUGGGGACAGGCUAUGAAGGACAAUUAAGCAAAAUAAGGUAGUACAGAGAUGGAGAAGGGGCUUCUAUUUGAUACAAAGUAGUCAGAAAAGACCUCCCUGAGAAGGUGACAUCUGAGCAGAGUGUGGGAUCUGUCUGUACACCACCUGUCUCAUCCCCAGCCACUUGCUCCUCUUUGGUUGCCACAGCAAAGUCUUGCAGACUCCGUGCAGACCCCUGUGGUUUCCCUGCCUGAGGAUCAUUAGCCGCAGGUCUAGAAUGUCUGACUCCUCUCCCCAUUCCUCUCCAAACUCAGCUGAAACGCCAAACUGCAGGGCUUUGUCUCCUGACCAACUGCCGAUGGGGCUAAAGGAUGAAAUACGGAAAUGCAGAGGAUUUAAUUCCCCUGAGUGAAUUGUGACCAGUGGGAGACAAGAGAUUGGAGGAUACUGGGCAGAUAAACGUCCUCUCCCUUUUUCCCUCUGAUGAACUGUUCCAAUAUAUGAUUUCUCCAUACAGCCUGUCAGAAGUCGACCUCUGUGACCAAGCCUAUGUGCUUACUGACUGCUGUAGUUUGGAUUGUGUUCCCCAAAAGAUAUGUUGAAGUCUUGAACCCAGUACCUUAUUGGAGAGAGGGUCUUUGCAGAUGUAAUUGAGUUAAGAUGAGGUCAUCAGGGCAGGUCCUAACCCAAUAUGAUUGAUGUCUUUAUAAGAAGAAAAGACAGAGACACAGAGGGAGAAGACGGCCAUGUGAUGACAGAGACCAAGGUUGGAAUGAUGCAUCUACCAGCCAAGGAACACCAAGGAUUGUCAACAAACACCAGAAGCUAGAAGAAACGAGGAAGGAUCCCCUACAGGUUUCAGAGGGCAUAUGGCCCUACCAACAUCUUGAUUUUGAAUUUCUAGCCUCCAGAGCUGCAAGACAACAAAUUUCUGUUGUUUUAGGUGACCCUGUUUGUGGUACUUUGUUACAACAGCCCUAGGAAACAAAUAUACUGAGUGACCAGCUGUGUGGGAUUUACCUUCCAAAUAGAGCACUAACAGUGCUUAAGUCCGUGCCUGGAGCUCUGUUCUCCAGAGAGCUGUGACUGUGACUGGAACCAAAGACCUGAAUAAAAUGAAAGGUGAUAUUUGAGGACAGAGAUUACAGACAGAGGGAAGAGUCAAUGCAAAGGUGGCAGCAUGCUUGAUGUGUUAGAGGACCAGGAAGAAAGGUAGUGUGUUUGGAAAAUUAAUAAGGGGAAGAGUGUCAAGAAAUGAAGUCAAAGAGGGAGCCAAAGAAGACACCAUCCCUAGGGCCUUAUGGACCAUAGAAAGGACUUUGGAUUUUUUUAAACAAUGUAUUAUUGAAAUGUAAUUUACACUUAGGAGUAAAAUGAACAAAUCUUAAGGGUAUGGUUUUGUGAAUUUUUUUUACAUAUUGCUCUGGUUUGAAUAUGUCCCCCAAAAUGCAUGUGUUGAAACCUAACCCCCCAGGUGAUGGUAUUGAGGUUGGGCCUCUGGGAGGUGAUUAAGUCACGAGGGCAGAUAUAUUGUAAAAGAAACCCAAAAGAGCUCCCUUGCCUCCUUCUGCCAUGUGAAGACAUAGGAAGUCUGCCAUUUGGAAGAAGACCAUCACCAUGCCGGUACCCUGACCUCAGACUUCCAGCCUCCACAACUGUGAGAAAUAAAUUUUCAUUGUUUACAAG
rnacentral:lncRNA from 1 species